AAAGUUUGAUCCUGGCUCAGGACGAACGCUGGCGGCGUGCCUAAUACAUGCAAGUCGAGCGGAGUUUGAGGGAGCUUGCUCCCAAGAGCUUAGCGGCGGACGGGUGAGUAACACGUGGGCAACCUGCCUGUAAGAUCGGGAUAACUAUCGGAAACGAUAGCUAAGACCGAAUAAUUGGUAUUCUCGCAUGAGGAGAUCAU
rnacentral:rRNA from 1 species